ensembl:lncRNA
GUUUACCCUUGUGGAAGUGCAUUAACUUAACAAGCGUAAUUUGUGUACUUUAGGUGAAACGGCUCAAUAUUGGCUGUGUGGCUGGCUGAUGUACAGUAGUAGUUUGAGUAAAAUGGAGAUUGUUGGUGUGUAACUUAGCGCAGAUCCCAAUGGCUGUCAUUGUGCCUGUGGGUGGGUGCAUCGGAUAAUAGUCCUGUGUGUUUAGCCUGGCGAGGCAGUGUCAAGUCUUACUCAUUGCACUGAAUCACUCUCCAAUAGUCAGUCACUGCAAACUUUACCAAGCACCCUCCUGGACAGAACUACCAGUGUUGGGCUCAACUUUGUAUCUUUUACACAUGAAUCCAUCUGUACAUGGAGGAAAAACAGAACUUGGUCCUGCUUUUUUGACAGUCUUGUAUGUAAUAAUUGGGGUAACACAGCCAUUGAGUGACGGUUCCCUAUGGAACUGCAACAUUUUCAAUGAUGUCAAUCAUUUCCUCAUGCAGGUUGCUGUGUCAUCUUUGCACUACAUAUGAUUUUCUCGUUUAAAGCUUUCCCUAAAAUCAAUCAACAACAAAGCAAUCUUGGGAUAUACAGUUCUGCCUGCAAAGAAUUUGAAAUGGGGAAUAAUAUGAAAACCCACAUUCUAGGUGUGGAGGUGACAUGAUAAACUUUGGUAAAGAAAAUGAUUGCAGAUCAUUUGGUGCUUGUUUGAUCUGGUCAGAGCAAUGCCCUCCUGAAGCCCUCACAGGUGAAAGGGGGUUUGCCCGAAUGCCUAAACUCAGUCACUUGGGAACCAGGAAUGGACAACUCUCAGGAUUUCUAUUGAUACAGAGUACUGUAUUUAAAUGUCUUGUGUAAUAUACUGAACUAUACGUUUGCUGUACUUGCACAGUUUUUACAAACUUUUUUUCUUUUGUAACUUAAUGUGAUUUAAUUUCAAUGGCUGUAUUUCUAUUUUCUAUAUUUAGUUAUGAUGGUGAUUAUGUUCUGUAUCCCACACAUGGAUAUCGGCACAUUUUGAUUUUCUUUAACAACUUCUCAGUAAGCAUUACAGAUAUGUAACUUCAAUGUUGAGUUAAUCUCCAACACGAUGCAAAGCUUACAAUGAAUCAGCCAAUCGAUGUGCUUUCUGUGCAACAGCCGUAGUUGGCCUUGUGCAGCCAUAUCGAAGCUCAUUGAAGACCUGUAUGUAAGCAUUGUCCACAGAUGGCAACUAGCAGUGGACUCUUCCUGUAUUUAUUUUUGUUUGAUGGUUUGUCUUUGUAGGGUUUGGGGGAUAGUGGUGGUUGAGCUCAACUGUGAAAUUCACAUUGCACAUAUUUUGAGAAUAAAAUUUGAUAACCUAU